rnacentral:rRNA from 1 species
CCUACGGGGGGCAGCAGUAGGGAAUAUUGCUCAAUGGGGGAAACCCUGAAGCAGCAACGCCGCGUGGGUGAAGGAGUAUUUCGGUAUGUAAAGCCCUAUCAGUAGGGAAGAACAAUGACGGUACCUGACUAAGAAGCACCGGCUAAAUACGUGCCAGCAGCCGCGGUAAUACGUAUGGUGCAAGCGUUAUCCGGAUUUACUGGGUGUAAAGGGAGCGUAGACGGAAAGGCAAGUCAGAAGUGAAAGCCCAAGGCUCAACCAUGGGACUGCUUUUGAAACUGUCAAACUAGAGUACGGGAGAGGUA